CCCUCUCCAGGGAGUAGGAGACACCAUUGGUGGGGCCGGGGAGGCGGCCUACCCUGGGGCCUCCCGGGCCUCGCAUUACCGCAGGGGUAGCUUUGGCGACCACGAGUCCCCAGCACGCAAAUCGGAGCUGGUCGCGCCUUUCCCGCUGCUGCGUGGCCUCAGCCAGCUUCCUGGGCAUGAGUGGGAUUGGAGUCAACACAGUGUCGAACCAGGAUGAAGGACGGGCCCACCUGCAGAUACAGAGCUAAAGCUUCCUGGGGAUGAGUGGGAUUGGAGUCAACACAGUGUCGAACCAGGAUGAAGGACGGGGCCACCUGCAGAUACAGAGCUAAAGCUUCCUGGGGAUGAGUGGGUUUGGAGUCAACACAGUGUCGAACGAGGAUGAAGGACGGGGCCACCUGCAGAUACAGAGCUAAAGCUUCCUGGGGAUGAGUGGGUUUGGAGUCAACACAGUGUCGAACCAGGAUGAAGGACGGGGCCACCUGCAGAUACAGAGCUAAAGCUUCCUGGCGAUGAGUGGGUUUUUAGUCAACACAGUGUCGAACCACGAUGAAGGAUGGGGCCACCUGCAGAUACAGAGCUAAAGGUACAGACACCAGGAGGGAAGCUGCCGAGGAUAGGCGCCAAGGUGUGAUGGCUGUGGUGUGCACAGAACAGACAGCUAAAGGGAAGGCAUCCUCUGAUUUCACAGGGGGCUAUUCCAGUAGAACUGCCUCUUUACGACAACCCUGAACGCCAUUUGUGCAAUUUCCA